CAUAGUGCCCCUGUUUGUUACAUUUGUAACAUUCAAUAUUGUUGUAAUUCGACCUACCACCUCUCUAGCCACGUCCUCUGCCACGCCAGUUUUGUUGGCUUGAUUGUCCUUUGUCGAAGUUGUUAUUUUAGUAACUUCGACCAUCAUUACGUCCUCCACGACCAUGUCCUCUCCCACGCCAAUUUUGAGAGAAUAGUGCCUUUUCGUCUCUGUUGGGUUAUGCAUCCUCAAGUGCCCCCUCCUUCUUCUUUAUUUUGCGCUAUUCAGGUGCCUCAGCGAACCAGCCACUUCUUCGACAGUGAUUUUCGAUAG